rnacentral:misc_RNA from 1 species
GAUGAAGAACGUAGCGAAAUGCGAUAAGUAAUGUGAAUUGCAGAAUUCAGUGAAUCAUCGAAUCUUUGAACGCACCUUGCACCCUUUGGACUGCUCCAAAGGGUAUGCUCGUUUGAGUGUCAUUGUACUCUCACACUCUCUGAUCCUUUGGAUUUGGAGCAGUGGACUUGGGUGCUUGCUGCUUCCUUGUGGCUCACCUGAAAUGCAUCAGUGCAUCUCUCGAUUGGACAUAGUACGGCGUGAUAAGUGUCUUCGCCGGCACCUCAUAUGAGGGUGGCCGAUCGGGAGCUCUGUGCUUUCAAACCGUCUUCGGACAACGCUGACAACUUGACCUCAAAUCGAGUAGGACUACCCGCUGAACUUAAGCAUAUCAAUAAGCGGAGGA